AAUCAAAACAAGGACGAAACACAGUGGCGCAAAUAAAGCGGCUGUGAAGAGACCUCUGAAGUCCCAGCAAUAGAGAACUCGAAAAUGACAACGCUUCGAGAUUUGGGAAUAUCAGUACGUUUCAUCAUCGGGCACCAUUGGAAGUAAGAACCUGGUCUCAAUGGGUUCUUUAUUAAAUGUGUGUGAAUAAAGCCUCAUGAGACUGUCUGUGGUCUGAUCUGUCUAUGGUCUGAUCUGACGGAGGAUAACAGGAGAACACACUUCAGAGCUAUAGUGACCAUUCACUCUACUGUCAUUACUCUGCUCAGCCCAGCAUUCAGAACAGCAUUCAGAACAGCCAGAGACUCGGCAGGUGAAAGGCAUCGUGGGAACGUUUUUCUCUUUUCCAGAAAGGGUGUUGACAUCUGGCAAUUUACUUUAUGGAGACCUUGGCAAUAUUGCACAUGUGUACCCUGGUAAACAAAGUAAUACAAACCUUGAGAAGAGAUAUAAAAACCACCUUCACUGGAACAAUGUUACUGGAUUCUUCACUUUGUCAGACCUACAAAUAGACGAUUCUGGGGUUUAUACUGUGGAGAAUGGAGAUGCUGAAGAGAAGAUGAGACAUACAUUUCAGCUGACUGUGUACUAUGUUCUGUCAAAACCUCAGGUGACUGUUCAUGAGAACAUCUCCUGUAGUGUUGUGUGUUCUGUGGAGAACGGGAGAGAGGUGACCCUGUCCUGGUACAAAGGAGGGGAGAUACUCAACCAGACCAGCAGCCCUGACCACAUCACCCUCUCUCUACCUCUCAAGGUGGAUGAACAGAACAGAGACUCUUACAGAUGUGAGGCUGCCAACCCAGUCAGCAAGGGGACAGCUGUUGUUCCACAUUCCUGUAUAGAGAGUGAUCCCUCUAAGGUGACAGAUGGUGAUGUGAGGACUCUUAUUGCUGUAAUCUGCGUUUUGUUGGCUUCAGGACUUGUUGGACUUGCAAUAUAUCUUACAUUGAGAUGCAUACGCUCACGUGCAGGUAUUUAGCUUUUAAAGGGGUGAGGUCAUUCUCCUUGUCAAAGUCAAAACAUGUUGUGCACAACCUUUAUUAAUGACCAUUGAUAGUGUUUUUAUAAAUGUAGGAAAUGUUUGCCUGAACAACGGAUGCAGGUCAAAUGAAGUGGUGUAUUAAGGGAAUUUUUACCUAUGACUAAUUAUGUAUAUUUCAAUCAGGCCUGAUGAGUCAGAAUACUAUUAUGUUACUGUACAUGUAUGAAUUUUCUUGAUCCCAGUACUGAAUAUAAUGUGAUCAAGAGUUUAGAACAUUGACGGUCUGUUCCUUGGUACAAAUGAAGAACUAUAUCUCCAGACUGACUAGAAUGCUUAUCUACACUGGCUGACCUUGGCUCUAGGCAAGGAGGGAAGGCUUGAACUAUAGAGCCUUUCUACCAGGGUCAAGAAGAGACGGAACAUUUAGAAAAUGCUGACGUCAUUUUCAGUUUACAACCUGUGGUAAAAUGUGUAAGUACUCAGUACUCUCGAGAAUAAACUCUGCUGUUUUGAUUUUGA